GACGAACGCUGGCGGUGUGCUUCACACAUGCAAGUCGAACGGGGUAGCAAUACCCAGUGGCGGACGGGUGAGUAACACGUGGGAAUCUACCAUUAGAUGGGGAUAGCAGGCCGAAAGGCCUAUUAAUACCGCAUAUGUAGGCGUCUCGACAGAGAUGUUUAUGAAAGGAGUAAUCCGUCUGAUGAUGAGCCCGCGCCCGAUUAGCUAGUUGGUAAGGUAAAGCUUACCAAGGCGACGAUCGGUAGGUGGUCUGAGAGGAUGAUCACCACAAUGGGACUGAGACACGGCCAUACUCCUACGGAGGCAGCAGUCGGAAUUUUGGGC
rnacentral:rRNA from 1 species